UACAGAGGAUGCAAGCGUUAUCCGGAAUGAUUGGGCGUAAAGGGCCUGUAGGUGGCUUUUUAAGUCCGCUGUCAAAUCCCAGGGCUCAACUCUGGACAGGCGGUGGAAACACCAAGCUGGAGUACGGUAGGGGCAGAGGGAAUUUCCGGUGGAGCGGUGAAAUGCGUAGAGAUCGGAAAGAACACCAGCGGCGAAAGCACUCUGCUGGGAGUGUGCUGACGCUGAGGCACGAAAGCCAGGGGAGCGAACGGG
rnacentral:rRNA from 1 species